ensembl:lncRNA
CAAUGUCAUAUUGAUUCUUCAAGUAGAUCAGAUGAACCAGUUAGCUUCACAUGCUCCCCGUGUCCUGGAAGCUAAGUUUAAUUUUCAAUAUUUAUAUUUGAGGGUGUCUGGGUUAAAUGCAUUGAUAGAUUUAUAGGCAAAAAUACUAUUUUGAAAUGUUAUGUUUUAUCUUAACUUUCAUUGUUAUCACAAUAAAUACCAGAAAAUAUUGUGAUAGGGUUUUAAGUCCAUAUUGCCCAGUUCUAAUCUUCUUUUAAUUUUUAAUGUUUUUACAGUUAGAAUUAUAAAUUAAAUUGUCAAACAGUCUAGAAUUAAUUAUAGCAAAAUUCAAAAGCUUCUAUUUUUGCUUUCAUAUAUUUUUUGAUCUGACCCAGAGGAGUUGGUGCUUUUGCUUUACCAAUGAUGAACCUCGCUGCACGUCACUGAUGUGGGAUAUCAAACAUUGCUUCAUCAUUCAUCUAGAUUAUCUGUGAAUAUUUUUUACUUUAUUGUGUAAAGAGUUUGAAUAGAACCAAAAGUGGAAACUGAUACUGAGUUCUUAUCUCCACCAGAAUACCAGUGUUGAUGUUUGACAGGAAUGCAGUCUAAAAGCUGCCUGUGUCGACUUAAAUUUAAAUCCAGAUGAGCUGUUCAAGGAAUUCUUGGAAGUAAUUUUUUUUUUCAUUUUAAGGAUGUGGAUCUGCCUGCACCAUGUAACUUCCAAGUUUUGAAUGCACUUUAGAACAACACUCAGCAACACCACAUAUGAGCGGGUGGUCUUCACACCCCUGUUUUCUGUUCACCAUUGGGGGUGGGGGGCCAAAAGGAGGAGUUGGCCAUCUGGUUGGGGUCUGGAAUGCUGGGCCUCCCUGCUGGUGCAGGACCAGGGGCAGUCUGCUUGUCUCCAUCCCAGGGCAAAGGACAACAUCUCUUGGGUAUGGGGAUGGAUUGCUCCUCUGGGGCUGAUGGUCUGUGGGACCCAGGAAGACUGUAUACCUGCAUCUUUACCAACUUGCAUUGCAGUUUCUGUGCACUCCAGCCUCUUCUGUUCUAUGUGAGAGGAUUUUCUCUUUUCAAGAAAACAAACAGUCUCAGCUGUUGCACAGUGGAACAAAUUCUCUUGUUAAAUAACAACCAAACAGGAUGCCCUUAAAUGUAUCAUGUUUUUACUUUACAAGUUCAGAAGCAUUUUUCCUUUCCAGUUCACAAUCAAGUCUACUCCUAGGUUUAAAAAUAUGUAUAAGAAAAUUGGCCUAAUAUGAUAUUAUUGAUAAACAUAGACCAGGGUUUUUAUGAUGUAUUUAUGACUGUAUUGUGUUUUUGCCUUGUAAAGCACUUUGUGACACGUCUGUGAAAGGUGCCAUAUAAAUAAACUUUACUUACUUACUUACAUACAUACCUUUCCAGCUGUCCAGUGAUUAAUUACAUAAGUACCUGGAGACAGGACGUCACAGCAGAAGCAUACUCCAUAAUGUGUUGUACAUUUUUAUAUGUAUAUUACAUGCAUUUUUCAUCUAUGGUAUGUACCACCAUCAAGAAG